AAUAAGUGCAGUUAUGGUUUUUCGCGUCUAACUUUGACCGUUCGUCUUAUUUGAAAACUUUUUAAAAAAUUAAAAACAUAAGCCACGAAUAAAGUACUAUUCAUGUUUUAUCAUCUCAUAACAACAAAAAUACUAAUUAUAAAAAAAUUUCAAAUAAAACGGACAAUCAAAGUUGGACACAGAAACUUAUGGCUACACUUAUU
rnacentral:pre_miRNA from 1 species